AACGAACGCUGGCGGCAGGCUUAACACAUGCAAGUCGAGCGCCCCGCAAGGGGAGCGGCAGACGGGUGAGUAACGCGUGGGAAUCUACCUUUUGCUACGGAAUAACUCAGGGAAACUUGUGCUAAUACCGUAUGUGCCCUUCGGGGGAAAGAUUUAUCGGCAAAGGAUGAGCCCGCGUUGGAUUAGGUAGUUGGUGGGGUAAUGGCCUACCAAGCCGACGAUCCAUAGCUGGUCUGAGAGGAUGAUCAGCCACAUUGGGACUGAGACACGGCCCAAACUCCUACGGGAGGCAGCAGUGGGGAAUAUUGGACAAUGGGCGCAAGCCUGAUCCAGCCAUGCCGCGUGAGUGAUGAAGGCCCUAGGGUUGUAAAGCUCUUUCACCGGUGGAGAUAAUGACGGUAACCGGAGAAGAAGCCCCGGCUAACUUCGUGCCAGCCGCCGCUGUAA
rnacentral:rRNA from 1 species